UACGGGGGGGGCAAGCGUUGUUCGGAAUUACUGGGCGUAAAGGGCUCGUAGGCGGCCAACUAAGUCAGACGUGAAAUCCCUCGGCUUAACCGGGGAACUGCAUCUGAUACUGGAUGGCUUGAGUUCGGGAGAGGGAUGUGGAAUUCCAGGUGUAGCGGUGAAAUGCGUAGAUAUCGGGAGGAACACCGGUGGCGAAGGCGGCCCCCUGGUUGGAUACUGACGCUGAGACGCGAAAGCGUGGGGAGCAAACAGG
rnacentral:rRNA from 1 species